ACUCGAGCGGCGAACGGGUGAGUAACACGUGAGCAACCUGCCCCUGACUCUGGGAUAAGCCCGGGAAACUGGGUCUAAUACCGGAUACGACCUCUGUCUGCAUGGACGGUGGUGGAAAGUUUUUCGGUUGGGGAUGGGCUCGCGGCCUAUCAGCUUGUUGGUGGGGUAGUGGCCUACCAAGGCGACGACGGGUAGCCGGCCUGAGAGGGCGACCGGCCACACUGGGACUGAGACACGGCCCAGACUCCUACGGGAGGCAGCAGUGGGGAAUAUUGCGCAAUGGGCGGAAGCCUGACGCAGCGACGCCGCGUGGGGGAUGACGGCCUUCGGGUUGUAAACCUCUUUCAGCAGGGACGAAGUUGACGUGUACCUGCAGAAGAAGCGCCGGCUAACUACGUGCCAGCAGCCGCGGUAAUACGUAGGGCGCAAGCGUUGUCCGGAAUUAUUGGGCGUAAAGAGCUCGUAGGUGGCUGGUCGCGUCUGCCGUGAAAGCCCGCAGCUUAACUGCGGGUCUGCGGUGGAUACGGGCCGGCUAGAGGUAGGCAGGGGCAAGUGGAAUUCCUGGUGUAGCGGUGAAAUGCGCAGAUAUCAGGAGGAACACCGGUGGCGAAGGCGGCUUGCUGGGCCUUAC
rnacentral:rRNA from 1 species